GCUAAAAAGUCUGCUAAUAAACAGUUCAAAGUUAUGUACAUUAAAUAAUAUUUUAUUACUAAAACUAAGAAAAACGAGAUGAAAAGCAAAUAUAAAAGAGAAUUAUUUACAACCACAAAGUACUUAUAUAUAAUUAGGAAAUUUACAACACAUAACCGUUACAGAGAACUAUCUCUGUGUUACUAUAUACAAUCUCAAGGUAUAUAGGUAAUGACUGAAGCUGCUGAAGGGAGUGCGGGAUGGCUUCAGCAGUUUUAAAGAUAUCCAUCAAGUGAUUAAUAAAAAUAAAUCUUUGAAGAGUAAAACUGUUACAAGUA